rnacentral:rRNA from 1 species
GUCUACGGCCAUGCCACCUUGAACAAGCCUGAUCCCAUCUGAUCUCAGAAGCUAAGCAGGGUUGGGCCUUGGGUAGGAGACCACUUAGGAAGACCAAGUGCUGUAGGCA